rnacentral:rRNA from 1 species
CGCGUAGGCGGCAAUUCAAGUCAUCUGUGAAAUCUUCGGGCUUAACUCGGAACGGUCAGAUGAUACUGUCUUGCUAGAGUGCAGAAAGGGCAAUCGGAAUUCUUGGUGUAGCGGUGAAAUGCGUAGAUAUCAAGAGGAACACCUGAGGCGAAGGCGGGUUGCUAGGCUGACACUGACGCUGAGUGCGCGAAAGCCAGGGGAGCAAACG